CUUCAUCUGGUCUUUCUUCUCGGCGUCGCGUUUCACCUUCCCGGAGAGACCCGGGCUCUGCAGCACGGCCUCCGCAUUGCGUGUGUAGUCCACCGUCAACACAUCGUCCCAAUUCUUGAACUUGGCCUUGAACACCUGCCAGGGAGGCCAUCAACUAACCAUGAGGGGUGCGGCAUGAUUAGAGUUGGAGGAAGUAGCCCGAGGCUUGAGGCGGGACCCAAGGGAGAUCUAGGGCGGGGCUUGGGAGGCGGGGCCUCGGACACGGAGGUAGGAAUAGGAGGGGCAGCUUGCAGAGGGGGCGGGGCCUGGGCAGAGUCAGCAAAGAGGAGGUGGGUUUGGGCCCAGCUCUGUAGGGAGGUAGUGAAGCCACAGGGGUCAGGGCAUGUCAGGGUGCGAAGGAUCCUGGGGAGGG
rnacentral:lncRNA from 1 species